GGGGGUGUGGUGGAGCACAAUAACCACUUCCUAAAAGGUUCAUCCCCAGGCAUCCAAUCAGAAAAGCACAUUUAGAAUGUAUUUCUCAGAACUGGGCUUAGAUUGACUUUUCCUACACAUUUUGACUCAAAUUGAAAGGAUAGUUCAACUAUCACAGCGUACUUGCAACAACAAAAAAUGAAUGGAGGAAUGUUGCACACUUGAGAGCAGUUAAAAAAGCAUUCUGAUACAGUUGAAACCUUUCCUUGACGGUCUCUCGGCGGCCAUCUUUGUUUCCUGUACCGGUGGUAGGUGGACUUGUACACGCAGAAAGAAAAGGAACUUGCAUUCACAUCCUUCUUUCAGGAACUGACAGGAAACAAUGAACAAGAGAACAGCUCUAACAAUUCUAUGCUGUUCCAUGUUCUGUGAGGCUUUUGGAGCAGGUCAAAAUGAGAUUCUAGUGGAACCAGGGGACACAGUCACCCUUGGCUGUGACAUUACCCUGGAGUACGAGGUCAUGUGGUUUGUUCUUCGUCCUGAUGCCACUCUUUCAGUAGCCAUCACUAUAAAGACAAAUACACCCCUGAGCCUCAACAAAAAGUUUGAUGGUCGUUUCGAGUCAGUGUAUGACACAGGCCUGUUCCGAAGCAAUCUGAGCAUACUGAACAUCUCAGAGAGUGACGUGGGUCUGUACUACUGUGUUGAGCAGAGGGCUAACAUAUUUGAGAUCGGAAGUGGGACCAAGCUCUCCCUUAUCAGUGGUGAUCAGCUCUCUACUACUGUUGUUGGGAUGAAGUUGUCAUGGUUUAUCACCUUGAUCAUAGCCCCCAUGUUCUCUGUGCUGGGGUCUGCUCUCUGUGUCUUCUGCUGUUGACGACCUGCUAAGAAAUUAUUUGCACCCAAUAAUUCUAAUUUUCACAUUGAAUCAGCUUUCUGAAAUGUAUUUUUUUAAUACUUAUGUGGUGCAACUCACGGUCUGUAAAUCGGUUAUUGGUGUUUAUUGUGCAUUUCAUGAAGAUUAAAAAAAUUGCUGUCCUCUUACACUGUAGAUCCUGACAAAAUGAGGAUUCUGGAACAAUUUGGUUGAAGCCUGUCAUCUAGAGGACCAAGAGUGAGUACAGGAGGACAAACAGGAAUAAAAUGUAAAGAUGC